rnacentral:rRNA from 1 species
UACGGAGGAUCCAAGCGUUAUCCGGAAUCAUUGGGUGUAGGCGGUCAGAUAAGUCAGUGGUGAAAGCCCAUCGCUCAACGGUGGAACGGCCAUUGAUACUGUCUGACUUGAAUUAUUAGGAAGUAACUAGAAUAUGUAGUGUAGCGGUGAAAUGCUUAGAGAUUACAUGGAAUACCAAUUGCGAAGGCAGGUUACUACUAAUAUAUUGACGCUGAUGGACGAAAGCGUGGGUAGCGAACAGG